rnacentral:rRNA from 1 species
CGGGAAGAAGGCCUUCGGGUUGUAAACCGCUUUUGUCCGGGAAGAAAAGGUAUCCCCUAAUACGGGAUGCUCUUGACGGUACUGGAAGAAUAAGCACCGGCUAACUACGUGC